UCAAUGCAAGAGCCAAACGGUUGGCCUAGGAGACGGAGACCAAGUUGCGCAGGAGGUAUAGCGCGUUGUGUGGCCUUGAUUAUUGUAGGCCAUGCGGUAAACAGAUUGCAUUGUACAAUAUAACAACUACCACCACAAGAGGCGCUGAAAAACCGUUGUAUACCAGGUGUACUCUCUACGAACAUGAUGCGCGGUACUAAAGGACUGAGGAUAGUUAGGAGAUUGUAGUUUGAAUGAGGUUUCUGACAUUUUGGGCCCAUGAUGUCGGGAAGUUUCUUCUUGAAGAAAAAAGAACGAACCUAACAUGGACGUUUUACAACAAACCAUCUUAAUAUGGAAUGAGUUUUAUACCUGCAAAUCGGUAAAUUUACAUUGUAUGAAGUACGAAUUCAUUUUUACAAUUUGUAUUACAUGUACGUCUCGUGGACCGUAUGUUCUGCAGUUGUACCACGUUGCAUCCAGCCAUUUUUAAUGUUAAGGGUUUCCUGUUGCUGAUGUACUAGCCAUGAUACUGACAGAUUUUCAUCUUAUUGGAAGAAGCAUGAAGUGGAGCUUUUUAGAGAGCCUGACAAAGAUAUCAUAGCUGUCGUCAACAUGGAAUGACAUGGUGGGAGAAUUGCCAACCAUUGGUCGUUCAGCUGUAGGUGUUUGUUACGAAAAUUUACGAAAAUCAGACAAUGAGGGUCGCCAUGGUGGUUAUCUCGGAGACUCAGCCGAAUGCGAAGCACGUUAAGAAGCAGCGUAGUACUUCAGGAGAACCACGAAUUAUGCACACCGAGGCCAAACAGUAAGGGCCGAUGUAACAAUUAACACAUCUGUGAGCAAGGACCUUUACGGGAUAUGGAAUCCUCAAAACGUAUGUGGAAAACGCCUGACAGAAUGUGUAAGCUAUUUUGGUCAGGCACAUUGGAACUUAAGGUUUCUUGUGUUGGGUACAUCAAAGCAGUAAUAAUUGUACUACAAAAAAUAUGCAAGGCAUGCUGGUCUGUUCUUUUCAAUAAUGAGACAAGUAGAUUUAUCAAGUAACGUUAAGGAACCCUAAGGUUACUAUAACUGAUGAGGUUAAUGUCAUGGAGAUGUCAUCAAGCUUCCAUCUCGAUGUAUAUAAAACCUGCUGGCCUUUGGUCUUAUUAUUUGACCAACUAUUGUGAAUCAAGUCAACAUUAGCUUCAAAACGAAGAGGAAAGAAUAAUAUAGAAUUUGUGGGGUUUGCACCAACCGUGGACAAUUCUUCUAUUUCAGAAUUGCAAGGCUUUUGCGGUCCAGCCUAAGCGAAAACUCCUGUGUAACUUAUUACAUGAUGAACUGUCGGGUCUUUGGAGAUGGUUAUGCCUGAUUAAACUCUUCUGAAAGUGAAGCAUUUGUCUAUGAAUAAUGGUAACCCCAAGUGCGUCAAAACUUCGUUCCUAAAAAAGAAGUGUCUAGGGAUGAAGAAGCAGAUGAAGCAGGCGAUAGCGAAUGUAAACUGUUGCUGUACAGUGUGCGCUCGUGGCAUCUCCGGUGUUAGCAGUGCAAUUGGCACAUGGAGCGGUGUUUCAGCAUGCAGACGUCUUUCGGUGCAACGGCUGGACAACGAAAUAGGCAACGGUUAUGAUGUGUCCCGCAGUAUGUUCCAUUACGAUCGCCGUAACGGAACAUGUACGUGAUUUCGUAUUCUAUGUCCGGACAUUGGAAACAUUUUAGGUGAUAUUCUUUGUUUGUACAUCGUGAUGCCACAUGAAACCUCUCGUUGUUUGUUUAGGACAAUGUAACCGAUCUAUGCUGGUACAGUUUUGUAAUGAUAGUCUUAAAGAGUCCAGGGAAU